GGGGUAGUUCCGGAAUUCGACAGGUUAUUACAAACAUGGACGGCGUUUCCGUUUGUCGGGUCAUAGACUGCAGAAAUAACUGCAAAAAAUAAUGAACCAUCUUACGCAUUAGCUGCUUGAUCGCAGUCGCGUAGCCCUUUGUUGAGUCCACGGCAACAUUUUCGGCUUGAUAGUGGAUCUGCUGACAAGGUUUCUGUUCGGAGCCGACUUGGUGAAAACGAAUCGAACUAGUCUUUUAUCUAGAAGUUAGCAACUUGAUCUAAGGCGAAUUUGCUUGUUAACUAUAAGCGUAGAUGUUUAUGUGAUUGAAUAAUUUGGACAUGGGUUCGACUCCCAUCUACUCCAUUG
rnacentral:tmRNA from 1 species